UAUUCACAUAUAGUCAAUAUUUGUUGGGUAAAAUGAAAAAGGAGGUAUGUGUGGGAGGAGCUCAAGGUUUUGUCAGCUUCAGCAGAAGAAAUCAUUGAGACAACACUAACACACCUUCAUUAAGAAGUCUGAACUCAAACUACCGAAACAUGUUACUCAUCUUUACUUUUUUAAUUUUUAUCCCCAGUUACUGUGAGUCUGGGGAUGUCAUCAGACCAAACCAACCAUCUGUAGUUUUCACUGAAGGAAGCAACACCACUCUGUCCUGUACAUAUGAUGGAUCAGCUUACAGUCUCCAUUGGUAUCGGCAGAAGCCUGGAUCAAACCCAGAGUUUCUGCUGCUGAUUGAUGAGUCUUUCAAGCGUGUCACCGAAGCUGACCAACCUCAUCCACAUAUGUCCAUCAGACUCCAUGAUGAUAAACGUGUGGAUCUGGAGAUCUCCUCUGCUGCUGUAUCAGACUCUGCAUUGUAUUACUGUGCCCUGGAGCCCACAGUGACAGGAAAACUCUCUAGACUGUAUAAAAACCUGUUUCUUGCAUACUGUAUAAUCAUAUAUUUAAGCUUCCCCUUAAAUUAAGUUGUUUUCCUCCUCAUUUCCUUAUAAGGUGGUCUUUCUCUGAGAACUACUGUAGUCUACCAUUUUACCAAAUGUUAUGCACCAUUUACAUGUUAUUUAUUGGGUAUUUAAGGCCACUAAUACAAUACAAAACACAUUGUAAUGUCAAGUUGUGUUAACCAGUACACCAAAGUAUCAACCCACAUGCUAGAAAAACAUUCCUUUAUGAAAAAUCUGGAAA